GUGGGGAAUAUUGGACAAUGGGCGAAAGCCUGAUCCAGCAAUGCCGCGUGAGUGAUGAAGGCCUUAGGGUUGUAAAGCUCUUUUACCCGGGAUGAUAAUGACAGUACCGGGAGAAUAAGCUCCGGCUAACUCCGUGCCAGCAGCCGCGGUAAUACGGAGGGAGCUAGCGUUGUUCGGAAUUACUGGGCGUAAAGCGCACGUAGGCGGCUUCUCAAGUCAGAGGUGAAAGCCUGGAGCUCAACUCCAGAACUGCCUUUGAAACUAGGAAGCUUGAAUCCGGGAGAGGUGAGUGGAAUUCCGAGUGUAGAGGUGAAAUUCGUAGAUAUUCGGAAGAACACCAGUGGCGAAGGCGGCUCACUGGACCGGCAUUGACGCUGAGGUGCGAAAGCGUGGGGAGCAAACAGG
rnacentral:rRNA from 1 species